rnacentral:rRNA from 1 species
GACGAACGCUGGCGGCGUGCUUAACACAUGCAAGUCGAACGGAAAGGCCCUGCUUUUGUGGGGUGCUCGAGUGGCGAACGGGUGAGUAACACGUGAGUAACCUGCCCUUGACUUUGGGAUAACUUCAGGAAACUGGGGCUAAUACCGGAUAGGAGCUCCUGCUGCAUGGUGGGGGUUGGAAAGUUUCGGCGGUUGGGGAUGGACUCGCGGCUUAUCAGCUUGUUGGUGGGGUAGUGGCUUACCAAGGCUUUGACGGGUAGCCGGCCUGAGAGGGGGACCGGCCACAUUGGGACUGAGAUACGGCCCAGACUCCUACGGGAGGCAGCAGUGGAGAAUAGUGCACAAUGGGCUGAAGCCUGAUGCAGCAACGCCGCGUGCGGGAUGACGGCCUUCGGGUUGUAAACCGCUUUCGCCUGUGACGAAGCGUGAGUGACGGUAAUGGGUAAAGAAGCACCGGCUAACUACGUG